GAAGGUGCAUAUAUAACAGAUGGUUUACCUUUAGAGCUAGCCAGAAGGUUUUCCACGCAGCUUGCAGUCAAAGCAAUGACUAAAAAUUGCACAAUCGAUAAGGUAAAACUUACCAUGCAAGCUGGCACAUUUUGUACUAUGAACGAAGCCGUUUCCAAAUUUGUCAAUAGUUGC